AUUGAACGCUGGCGGCAGGCCUAACACAUGCAAGUCGAACGAGUGGCGGACGGGUGAGUAAUGUCUGGGAAACUGCCUGAUGGAGGGGGAUAACUACUGGAAACGGUAGCUAAUACCGCAUAACAUCAGAUGUGCCCCGAUGGGAGUUGCUUGUUGGUGGGGUAACGGAUCACCAGGGCGACGAACCCCAGCUGGUCUGAGAGGGUGACCAGCGACACUGGAACUGAGACACGGUCCAGACUCCUACGGGAGGCAGCAGUGGGGAAUAUUGAACAAUGGGCGCAAGCCUGAUGCAGCCAUGCCGCGUGUAUGAAGAAGGCCUUCGGGUUGUAAAGUACUUUCAGCGGGGAGGCGUUACCCGCAGAAGAAGCACCGGCUAACUCCGUGCCAGCAGCCGCGGUAAUAC
rnacentral:rRNA from 1 species